rnacentral:rRNA from 1 species
UCAGAGUGAACGCUGGCGGUAGGCCUAACACAUGCAAGUCGAACGGCAGCACAGGAGAGCUUGCUCUCUGGGUGGCGAGUGGCGGACGGGUGAGGAAUACAUCGGAAUCUACUUUUUCGUGGGGGAUAACGUAGGGAAACUUACGCUAAUACCGCAUACGACCUACGGGUGAAAGCAGGGGAUCUUCGGACCUUGCGCGAUUGAAUGAGCCGAUGUCGGAUUAGCUAGUUGGCGGGGUAAAGGCCCACCAAGGCGACGAUCCGUAGCUGGUCUGAGAGGAUGAUCAGCCACACUGGAACUGAGACACGGUCCAGACUCCUACGGGAGGCAGCAGUGGGGAAUAUUGGACAAUGGGCGCAAGCCUGAUCCAGCCAUACCGCGUGGGUGAAGAAGGCCUUCGGGUUGUAAAGCCCUUUUGUUGGGAAAGAAAUCCAGCUGGCUAAUACCCGGUUGGGAUGACGGUACCCAAAGAAUAAGCACCGGCUAACUUCGUGCCAGCAGCCGCGGUAAUACGAAGGGUGCAAGCGUUACUCGGAAUUACUGGGCGUAAAGCGUGCGUAGGUGGUCGUUUAAGUCCGUUGUGAAAGCCCUGGGCUCAACCUGGGAACUGCAGUGGAUACUGGGCGACUAGAAUGUGGUAGAGGGUAGCGGAAUUCCUGGUGUAGCAGUGAAAUGCGUAGAGAUCAGGAGGAACAUCCAUGGCGAAGGCAGCUACCUGGACCAACACUGACA